UCAAUCGGAUUGAAUUGGCCAGAUCCGACUAAAGUUUCUAUCGGAUUGUAAGGGGUGGUUUAUUCCUUUUGUAAUCCGAGCGAGAAGACAUGUAAACACUUGAUCGGAUUAAAAACCGAAACCGGAAAGUACUGCGCAUGUGCAGUGAUGUAGAAUUGGAACAGGACCACAUACCACCAGUCCUUGUUUAUGACUCUCAUCAACAGACGAUUAGUUUUGGGUGCGGGAAGGGGCAGCACUUUUUAUUUAUUUAUUUAUUGUAAUACAUAUGCUUUAUUUCUAUUACAUACCUGUAACCUUGAUUUAGAUCUUGCCGUAGUUUUCUUUUUUCACCAGCCCAGCCAAUUAAAUUUCAUCUUUCAAUUUGCUGAUUGGCUUAUCAGUUGACGAUCAGAUUCCUGUGAUGUUAAAAACAAAACAAAACAAAACAAACAACAACAAAAAAAAACUGGUCAUCCAUUUAGCAGAUAUCUGGAAUAUAGCAUGUGCCCCAGACCAGCAUAUGUAUUCUUACACUUAAUACCUUCCGUACUGUGACUCAAAAAUGAGAACAUUUUUGAAGAAGCCAGAUCGAGUAGUCUCACACAUACAUGAGUGCCAAAGUGGUUUUCAGUGCCUGUUAUUUUCCGCAUGAAGCUUCAGAGGUCAGUUUGUACUAAUGAACGUGGCACCAGGGCAACACUUUUCCUGUCUGUAAUCACUGAAUGUUAUCAAGCCUGACCUCUUGUUCUCUCCUUUUAACCAACAAAUAAAUAAUCAAACUGAUGCCUUCAUUCGCAUUGAUUGCAUUAAAACAAUUAUCAGAAUUUAGGAACAUGCACACACAAAUGCAGUUCAAAGAGAGAUUUCUUCCCUUGAAUGCGGCGCACGAUUGAAGUGUUUGUUUGAGUGCCUUCUGCAAACUCAUUUCACUUGAUGGAUGCCAACAAAGUUGAUUCUGCCCACUUCUUCCUUUUGAGUUAGGAGGAAUGGUGGAAGGGAGGGUGAGAGGAAGUGGUAGCUAUGCGGUGGCUUGUUUUGCUAAUAGCCUCCUGUAAUUUAAACCCUGAAUAUGACGACAGUCUUUGUUAUGGAUUGGACCUCAAUCACUCCCGUGUACUCUCACUCCAAAGAGCUUCAGGUCCAUUCAUCAUAUUGCUUUGAGAGAGCUAGAUCAGAUUGUAUAUACCAUUAGGGUAAUUCACCAGGCGUGUACUGUUGCAUGUGUGUACUGUACAUGUUUGUGUGCUUACCUGGACUGAUUCCCCUCCAAAGAGACCCUUUGUAACACUUCUACCAAUCAGAAGACAAGUGCUCUUCAUCACUGGUCAAACUGAAGCUAAAAGGUAUGUAACGACUCUGGCGUUAUGAAGAAAUGGCUGUGUGUGUUUAUGCAAUAUAAUAUCUAAAAGACACAUGAAAUUGCCUGACAAAAUCAGUUUUCUUGUUUAUAUAUAAAUUUUGGAGAGUGGCAUUCACAUUAUUUGCAAAGCCCUUGAAAUUAUAAUAUUAAUGUGUUUCACGUUGCAAUAAAGAACCACUGCUUGAGUUGUGGCCAUUAAAUGGUACUAUAGCAAUAAUUUUUAAAUGGUAAGUUAGAGAGGUUAAAAAAUUGCCAUUUUAAAGAUGAGGGUUCAUUUUAAAUGUAAUAAGAGAGAAUAAAACUUCUGGCUGUAGGGUAUGUGUAGCAUGAACUUUAGAGGAAACUGAUCUGCCAGUCCAAUGCACCAGGGGAUAAAUUAAAGUCUUCACUACCAGCCCAUACUAAUGCUGGAGCUCUGUCUGGAGAAGAGCCUAGUCUCAUAAUUAACACUGUGAUUCAGAGAACUCCAGGCACACACAGGCUUCACAUACCCACCCUGAAUAAAUACAUAUAUCAAAUCAACCCAUUUAAAAACGACAGCCUGAUGAUGUUUAGGUGAGAGACAUGAUGAAUGAAGCUACUCUCUGAAAUGGUUAUGAAACAUGAUAAAAAAGGAUUUUAAAUUUCAGAGAUGUGCUUUCGGUGAAGCUUUCUGGCUGAUGUAAUGAUAGGAGCUGUAGUCUGUAUUAGUCAGUAAUCUGAUUUGCGAAUUUAUUUGAAACCAUAAUAAGAUAUACCACUGAGACCAAAUCUCCUUCUACAAUAAAAUAUUAGGUUUAUUUUGGGAUAUUCUCUGACACUUUUUAUGGACAGAGACAGAAGAGAGCUAGUAUAGCAAAUCGUAUCAAUUGUCAAAUAUGUAUAUAAAUAUAUAAAUAUUUACAUAUAUAAAUUUAUUUUAAAUUAAUUAUUUAGUUCAUUGAUUUAUGCAUCUUUUAUUUGAAUGUUUUAUUAUAUUCUUUAUCUCAAAGAUAGGAUAACAGCUUUUGCGAGUCACACCAGCCCUUCUCCUCCAAUUUCACAACAGUUUUACCAGAGGAUAAAUAAUGCCCUGUUUUCAGAGAAGAAAGCGGGUGGGGUGGGGGUCACAUUAUGAUUCAUCAAAGUUUUUUGAUUAAAACUCCCCCGGAAAAACAUUUCCAUUUGCCUUGUUUCCUCACCAACCCCCUACCUCUCUUAUUUAUUCCAUAGCUGGUGAGUGCUAACUUUUUUUUUUUCUUUUCUCCCUCACUGCAUUUUCUUGGCAUAAUUUGAUUGUGUGAAAUGACCAUGAAAAAACUAUUACAACAGGUCCUUAGCUGUGACGAACACAAACAGGCGGCUGGCUUGUUUACAGAAGGCCUGACGGUAAUGGCUUUUUUCCUGAGGUGUUGAAAAGAGAGCACAUGAAGCCAGUGGUCGGACGGAAAUUUCAAAGAGCACCAAGUAGGCAUACAGAGAGCUUUGCUCCAUUCGCACGCACACACACACAUAUACACACAUACACACGGAGAGAGAGAGAGAGAGAGAAGUGGCAGGAGAAGAUAAAGGCCCUGAUAUACUUCAAACGAAAUUGAAGAACGAACUAUGACGUAAUUUCGAACAAAAUCAGGCCGAAACGAAAAGCGAACUUUCUGGGGAAGUUCGUUUUGGCUCCUAAACACCUUUGAGUUUCCAUUGGUCCGUGGCGGUUACGCAAUCGGUGGGUGUGUUCUGAAACUCCACCUUCUUUGAUGUGCAAUUUUUUUCCCCCCCGGUUCGUUUCUCAUUCAACAGAGGUCAGGGAAGGGAGAACAAUAUCUCCGGCCUAGUCACUAGCAACAUGAAUACACUAGAGUGUCGAAUAGCUGAGCUGGCACAGAUAUAUCUGCACCUGUACGAUCGCUCGUGGAGAGACUUUUAAGAUUCAGAGAAAGCAUUUAAUUCCCAGAAAGAAAUUGCAACAAAACUUGGUAUCGAUGACCCGGAGUUAUGCAAAAAGCGAUGUAGAGAAAUAUCCGAGACAAGUUUUCCAAAGCCAUGAAAAGGAUGAAAGGAAAGAGUAAAGAUAUAAGGUAGCAAGUACCAAAUACAUGUGUUUCAAAAAAAUGUUACACCAUUCUGCUGCUGCUUUUGUUUUCUUUUAGUAAGUGAAUUUACAGGGUAGCCUACACAAUAAAUGAAAUGCCAAACGAACAUACAAUUAUAAACCUUUGUUUUUAUCAAAGUAAAUCAUGACACCACAUAAAAUGUAAAAAUGUGUAAAAAUUUAUCCAGUUUAAUAAAAUAAAUGAACACUAAUAAAAUAAAGUAACAAAAUGACAAAAAAAAAAAAAAAAAAUCAAAUCAUGCUAUGAUACAUUCACACGUCCCAUACUGAUUAUGGUUCUUUUGUAUUUAAAACAUGAUACUUGACUCUGAACUGCUGCUUAUCAUUAUUCUUUUGUCUAUAAUAUUCUGACCAUUGGUGCCCGUCUCACACCUAGAUUGCCUACACUUCAUUUCAUCAUUGUUGUGUUUAGGGCAUAAGCACGAGCGUCGCGAGUCAUGUUUACAUUAAUCUACACCCUGCCUCCAGCAGCGCGAGAGUGUCGGAAUGUUCGAAAACAGUAUAACGUCACUUAGCCUUUUCGAACUUCUUUUUGCCUCCAAACGAAGAACGAAAACGAACUUAAGGUCACAGAUGUCUGUAUCGCCAUUUGAUUUGUCAGUGUUGGAGAACAUGAAAGUUUUGCAGAGAGGAAUUGUGUGUGUCAGUUCUGUCCCAAGACCUUAAACAUUUGAUACAGAUUUUAUUUAUUUAUUUAUUUAUUUAUUUAUUUAUUUAUUUAUUUAUUUUUAAAGAGACUUUAAAAAUUUCAGUAGCUUCAGUUUGAAUUUUUUGUAGAUCAUCAGAUAUGACAUUGUAGUGCUUUGGAAGCUGUAGUCUCUUAUGUUCGUCAAGACAGAAUUUAUUUGAUUAAAAAUAUUAAGAAAAUCACCAUUGAAACGUG
ensembl:lncRNA